CGUGCCCAGAGCCCUGGCUGGCCCCUGGGGCUGGAUUCACACACCCUGCUGUCUGUCCUGGCGAGGAUGUCACAUGGAAGCCACCAGGGCUGCUCCGUCCUGGCUGGCACCCGGCACAGCUAAUCAAAGUUGCUGCUCGAUGCCAAGACCAGGGCUCUGCCCUUCCAGAACCGCUAAUGAAGAGAUCCAGUCCCGGUGUCACUGCUCCAUCUCCAUCACCCAGCUCACCCCAGAGGAUCCUGCAGUGUUUUCCAAUUGCUUUGCUGCAAGAGCUGCUCAGACAAGGCCACAGCAGGGACAGGAGAUGUGGGAUGCAGAACAAGGGCACAGGGACAAACCCAGCUCCCCUCUCCCCAGGCAGCACACGGGGAUGGGAUCAGGGAGUUCAUCCUGUGAACCCCUCCUUUCCUCACAGAUACCUCUUAAAAUAUCUGGUAACAAACAGGUAACAGAUGUAUAAAUCCAGCAUUGUGAUGAAUCAGGAGGUCCCCAGGGCAGUACCUCUAAAAUUUUAAAACCCCAGCCUCAAAAUCAGCUCCAAGAGCAGAACCUGAUGCUAUUUUCAGGUCCUAAGCACAUUCUGUUUAGUGCCUGCCAACAUUUAAAAGUGCUUUUCCUCCUUAAGAGCAGCUUACAGUCCCAAGUGUGACACGAGCCAGCUGCUGGCAUCUGCGGCUCUGCAAGAGCAGCCACUGUCACCAAGCAGGUGAGGAAGGCACCAGCAUCCAGCUCUGCUCACAAGGGCGAAUCCAAUCAUUCCACAGCAGGUUCUUUACAUCUCCAGCAGCACUCAGAUUAAGUGAGAGCAAAAAUGAAUGUGUCAAGUGGAACUGCACUUGUUGAGGCUGCAGCUGCCUCGGGCUACAGGGGAAAUGGAACAGGGCUUGGUGACAGAAGGGGGAAGCACAACUGGAAGCACCUGGCUGGAAAUGUGCUGCCACCUCACACCACCAGCCCUGCUCCCAAACCACCUGCCUGCCCAGCAGGUGCAGCAGGGCUGGGAAUGGUUCACCCACUGGAAAAACCACACCACGCAGAAUGGAGUACAAAAAGAGAGGUGUUAUUUACAGGGGAACACACCAUUCCAGGGCUGCUGGAAAUGUUACACAGGGAUGGAAAACAGGGAAGUCCCAAGAGUCUGGCACUCCAGAGCAGACUUUGCUGCUAUCCCUCCCACCCACGGCCCUCCCAACGCUGGAGAAUCCCUGCAAAGAGCGAUCCUGCCCUGCCCACUGCUGCAGCCGAGGCAUCUCCAUGGAAACUGCUGCCUGCAUUUCAUCCCUGCUGCCUGGGACCUCAACAAGAACAACUGUAUUUAUUUCCACAAGUGCUUUCUGGCACAUAGGGAUUAAGGGAAGCUCUGCCCAGCCUCCAGCUCUGAGACUGACAAACCUGGUCACAGAAGGAAGGGUUGUUACACCUCCCACCAGAGCGAGCCCCAGGCAUGGGGGAAGUGCUGAGAUCAGCCCCAAAUCCAGAAGGGUCUGGGGGGAGCAGCUGCUCCAAACUAUGAGGGAAGCAAUUCCAGGUCUGAAGUCGUAAUUCUCCACACAUUUCCUUCCACUAGAAAUGGAGCCCUGAAGAAUUGCUGAGGCUUCUGAAGAUCUUGCUGCCCAGUGCAGCACUGCAGGUCGCUCUUCCAGUGCCUGAGCAUCCCCUGCUCAGUUUUCUGUUUGGACACGGUCAGGAGAAGCUGAGUUUGAACUUUCCUGCACAUUGGUCACUCUGGCAUGUACAUGGCAAAA